ACACCGCUUGUUAUUCAAAGUGAAGACGACGACACGUAUGACUCGCAUGCACUGGCUUGUCUUCUUCCACGAGAAAUGGAACGCAUUCCAGAGGCUCUACGAGAAGUCCAGAUUUUCAGCAAAUCGCAGAGAAAGACAUACACUUUAGGAGAUGUCAAAGGGCAGCAGAUCGGCACGGUUCAGCACUUUCUAAACAUACAGCUGCAUGCUUUGCUUCGAUGUGGCAAAAUAACCAGGAAUUGAAGGGGAAAUCAACGGAGAACGGACAGUAACAUCGAGGCCAAGCUCUACCCAGAAGUUCUCCAGAUACAAACAGGCUGGCGGAGGAGCUUUUAUUCCUGUGACGCUCUUGGUGGAAGGACCACAGCGUUACAAAGAAUUUGUGCUAGAAAGAAUCCGCUUUACUCUUCCAGAAUGCGAGAAUGUCGAGGACAUGCAUGUUGAAUGUUUGAAAUAAACGAAUAUUUUUAAUGGUA